ACAAGCGGUGGAGCAUGUGGUUAAUUCGAAGCAACGCGAAGACCUUACCAGGUCUUGACAUCCCGAUGCUAUUCUAGAGAUAGAAAGUUACUUCGGUACAUCGGUGACAGGUGGUGCAUGGUUGUCGUCAGCUCGUGUCGUGAGAUGUUGGGUUAAGUCCCGCAACGAGCGCAACCCCUAUUGUUAGUUGCCAUCAUUCAGUUGGGCACUCUAGCGAGACUGCCGGUAAUAAACCGGAGGAAGGUGGGGAUGACGUCAAAUCAUCAUGCCCCUUAUGACCUGGGCUACACACGUGCUACAAUGGUUGGUACAACGAGUUGCGAGUCGGUGACGGCGAGCUAAUCUCUUAAAGCCAAUCUCAGUUCGGAUUGUAGGCUGCAACUCGCCUACAUGAAGUCGGAAUCGCUAGUAAUCGCGGAUCAGCACGCCGCGGUCGAAUACGUUCCCGGGCCUU
rnacentral:rRNA from 1 species